rnacentral:rRNA from 1 species
UAGGGAAUCUUCCGCAAUGGGCGAAAGCCUGACGGAGCAACGCCGCGUGAGUGAUGAAGGUCUUAGGAUCGUAAAACUCUGUUAUUAGGGAAGAACAAAUGUGUAAGUAACUAUGCACGUCUUGACGGUACCUAAUCAGAAAGCCACGGCUAACUACGUGCCAGCAGCCGCGGUAAUACGUAGGUGGCAAGCGUUAUCCUGUAUUAUUGGGCGUAAAGCGCGCGUAGGCGGUUUUUUAAGUCUGUUGUGAAAGCCCACGGCUCAACCGUGGAGGGUCAUUGGAAACUGGUAAACUUGAGUGCAGAAGAGGAAAGUGGAAUUCCAUGUGUAGCGGUGAAGUGCGCAGAGAUAUGGAGGAACACCAGUGGCGAAGGCGACUUUCUGGUCUGUAACUGACGCUGAUGUGCGAAGGCGUGGGGAUCAAACAGG